UACGAACUUAAUCGGGACUGUUUUGUCAAAAUGUACGCAAGAGUCAAAAGUCCGGUUGGGUGUGCGGACUGUUGCAUACGGCCAUUUUUUUGAAAAAGAACAAGGAUUAAGGAACCAAAAAACGAACAAGAAACGAAAAAAAGAGAAAAAUACUACUUCGUGCUCGGAAACAAGGGGAUUAUUGGUGGAACAAGCAGCAACCAAACAGCCCCAGCCCUUCGGGAGUCAGGGGUUUGUAGGCGACAGACUAGACAACUCCUCCGGUAGUAGCCUUCUGGUUUCUCAAAAAGAUGCCAAGCUCAUCUGUCGAUUUAGCGAGACAUGCAAAUUCUGCACAUCAUGUGAGGGAGAACAGUGAAUUUGCUAGGCUGGUCAUAUCAUGUGAACCAUCUUCAGUGGAAGCUGAUGUCUUACA